GCCCGGAUGGCGGAACUGGUAGACGCACAGGACUUAAAAUCCUGGGGCUUUAUGCCGUGUGGGUUCGAGUCCCACUCCGGGCACCA
rnacentral:tRNA from 1 species